UAAUAUUAAAGAAAUCUCAUGAAAAACCCUAAAGCCACUUUUUUUUGAUUGUUUAUUAAUUAUAACCAGAGUCGCGUAACACAAAAUUUGAAAUAAUUCGCAACUUAUAAACUCAUAAAAACGAUGCAGGCGCAUCGAGUGCAAAUCUAUAAAUAUUCAAUUACACAUGGGAACUGAAAAGCUGAUUAACUGUGCUAAAUCACAACACAGUUAUACUUUCCCUUUAAAUCGGAUUGGUAUAAUUUAUGCGUGAAUAAUUUUAGAUAACAAAAUUAAAUAUUGAGAUUGUGCAAACAAAUAAAUACAAUUAGCUACUGUGCUGACAGGUUCGUUACGAUUCCCGUUUUGAGCCAUAUCGUCAGAUGACUGAAGCCGCUGCUAUCGGAGAGUUGCGAAAACACAGACAUAAAGGUCCAAUCAGUUGCCGGGUCAUAAAGAUCGAGCAAUGCUAUCAAUCCCGAUGCUGAAAACCCGAAGGGGUUCGCCUUUUCGCGCGGUUUUAAUCGCGCGCGAGUCGCUCGCGCCUUAUCGCAAGCAACACGUUUUUAGCUUCUGAUUAAAAUAAAACUAUGCUAGUAAUUGAAAGUAAUUUUUGGACCUUAUGUCUAAUCUUAAAUACUAAUAAAAUAAAAAUUUGUUUGUUUUUACAGUUAAUCAAUAAAUUGAUAAUAUAUCGGAGAAUUUGAGCAACAGA